AAUCAACGCUGGCGGCGUGCCUCAGACAUGCAAGUCGAACGCGAAAGUCCCCUUCGGGGGAUGAUUAGAGUGGCGUCCGGGUGAGUAACACGUGGGUAAUCUACCUUCGGGUGGGGAAUAACAGUCGGAAACGACUGCUAAUACCGCAUAAUGCAGCGGCACCUAAUGGUGACAGUUGUUAAAGCGGGGGAUCGCAAGACCUCGCGCCUGAAGAGGAGCCCGCGGCGGAUAGCUAGUUGGCAGGGUAACGGCCUACCAAGGCGACGA
rnacentral:rRNA from 1 species